GAAGCAGUCAGUUGUCCACUGCCCAGGAAUUACGAUCUCCCCACCCUCAGCCUUUGUUAGGGAGUGGCGGCACCUAGGGAGCUGUGGACCGCAGAGCUGUGUCCAGGAUUAAACACAGACCAAAAGAAGAAGGGAGGGUCCCACCGGGAGGGUCCCACCCAGGAUUCACACUGUCUGUGGACGUAUCUACGGCUGCUGAAACCGUGGGUAACUACAUCUCAGUAUUACUCACAGAAGGCUUUUCCCUUUCACCUGUAGCCCUUAACAAUUUCCGCAUGCUGUCCACAGACCAACUGAAUACAUUUCAAUAAAGACUUACUGAUUUUAUUUGAUGAAUAUUGAUUGAGUGCUUGCUACAUAUUAAACAUAGGUCAGGAACCUCCUUCAGGGAAAAAGGCAGAUGAGGCCCCUGGCCACUGUGCACCUGGACUUUACAUUCUUGAGACUGGUGGUGGGAGUGACAAACAAACAAAAAUAAACUGGAAAUACUUAGAUAGUGAUAAGUGCCAUAGAAAAUAAAAAGGAGCAAUGUUAGAGUCUGUAAACAAGUCAAAAUAACACCUGGCAUUUUGCCAGGGGAAUGCUAGAGUUCGUAAACAAGUCUGGAUGGUGCCUGGCAAAAUGCCAGAGGGAGUGAUUUGAGAAGUAACAAAAGAGAGCCAUUAAGUGUAGAGAUUCCUGAUUGGUUGACUGAUGUAUCUAGUUUAUGCUAAUUAGAUAAGCUGUGUGGAAUGUAUAAAUACUGCUCCUGUCCUGCAAUAAACGGUUCCUACUCCUGCUGUAUCAAUCUACACAAGUUGUUCGUCACCCCCCUGAUUAUUCUGCUGCAGCCGGACUACGGCAGAGCAAGAUGGAGAGUGGCUGAGUGUUGAGAUGGUCAAGAAAAUCCUUUCUGAGGACAUGACAUUUGAGCUCAGAUCUAAAUUAUGAGAAUAGUGCAGAUGAGUUUGUACUGAGGGAGUGGCAUGGGCAAAGGCCCUGAGGCAGGAGUCAGUAUGGCUGGCGUCACUGAGUCCUUGAAAGGUUAGUGUGCUUAGAAUAUAUAGAGGCAGUGGGAAGAAGCAGGAAUGAGGUCAAAGGUCAGCCAACUUAUCAGGACCUUGUCAGACACGGUAAGAAGUGUCAAGACAUGGAGACAACAUCAAGAUCAGGGCAAUGACAUGAUGUUACUACUCUCUUGGACAUCUGAUAUCACAAUGGGAUUGGAAGAAAAAUGGGCAUCUUUCACAUGCAUGAGCUACAUCACAGUGGAAAGGACACUGGCCUCUACCUGGAGUGAGAAGCAGCAGCUACACAGCUUCCUGCUUGCAUUGCAUUGGGUGUUCUCACUGCUCAGUUUUGAAGCCUGAUUUCCUUAUCCAUAGAAUGGGAUAACUGCACCCUGAACCACCUCCUGAAGGUGUGGUACGGGUCAAAUGAGACAUUGUGAAAGGUGUGCAUGUGCAGAGGGGUGGAAGGGAUGACGGUCUGUUGUGUUCAGAGGCAGUGGCCUUGAUCGGAACCUCAAAACACUGGACAUUUGUGAUCAUUCCUUUGGAACCUUGGAACCUGCGGUGCUUUUCAGACUGCGCUCCUCUUACUUGGGUGGUUUUUCCCCCUGAAUGAAAGUCAGUGCUGCCUCCAUUUACUCCCAAGGCCUCAGAAGAGAGCCCCCAGCUGCUGCUCACAAUGGGAACCCUGAUCCUUGCGCUGGCACCACAGGGCUGACCAGCUCUCCAAGACGUUAUCUUCUUUGAUCCUGGCAACUCCACCAAGGGGCAGGUAGUUUGAUUUCCCAGGUAGAACGCCCCCCCUUCCCUGCCUCAUGUCAUCAGGCACUUAUCCACAAUGUUUCCAGACUAAAAGGUUUGCAUUUGUCCUCGAACAGAGGCUCUUCCUAAGUCAGGUGAGGCGUGUCGAUUUCCCAGAUUUUCUGAGAACUCUCCCUAAUGGCUGCCAAGUUGAGUUCCUCCACAGGAAGCCUUUCUUGCUCUCUGACAGAAAUCCUGAUGGUAUCUGAGCACCUGACCUCUGGUUCUGCCUUCACAUGUACCCUCUCUGGCAUCCAGAUAUCUGUGAGACUCACCCUUGCAGCUUGUCGAAGUGAGAAGGAAUCUCAGAGACCAGGGAACCUGAGGUCUGGCAGGACAUGGCCCCAGAGUGACAGACUCCGAGGCUCUGUCAAACUCCAGGCAGUAUGGCACCACUUAUUCCCCAAACACCAGGAUCUGUGGUUCAGGAGAUGGCAAAUUCUCAAUGCUCAUAGUAUAGUAUCCUAGACCCAGAGCUGAUUUGCUGGGUCACUGAGAGAGGAGCCUUCUAGUUUCCUGCUAACAUAGACCUUCUGGGUGAGGAAACUGAGAAGCCAGGUGAAGCUUCAGCUAUGGGCCACAUCCUUGGAGCUGAAUGGACUGCUUCCUGGGGGUGUGGGGUGGCACAGGGGGAAAGGCAGGCUUGGGAGUUGGGCAGAUCCAAUUUCACAACCCUGUUCUCUCACUUACAAACUAUAAGUCAGGUGACUGUCCCUGAGCCUUGGUGCACUCAUCUGUGAACCAGGGAGAAAAAUCAUGAGCUAUUUGGGAGGAUUAAAUCUACUCCUGCAUGGUGCCCGGGCUCCCCUCCCCACUAUUAAUUUGGGUGGCACCUCUCUAGCUUCUGGCCUGAGUUGGAAUUGAGAGUAGAUGGACUCAGAUGACCAGGAAAGAGGGGCUGGGGUUGUGGCUCAAUGGUAGAGCAUUUGCCUACCGGGUGUGAGGCACUGGGUUCGAUUCUGAGCACUACAUAUAAAUAAAUCAAUAAAAUAAAGGUCCAUCAACAUCUAAAAAAAUUAAAAAAGAAGAAAAGAUGACGACAAUGACCAGGAAAGAAAGUCAUCUUAGUCAUUGACUCUCAAAAAUCAGACCUUGAACUGGGCGCAGUGGCACACACCUAUAAUCCCAGCUACUCAGGAGGCUGAGGUGGGAGGAUUAAGAGUUCAAAGCCAGCCUCAGCAACAGCGAGACACUAAACAACUCAAUGAGACCCUGUCUCUAAAUAAAAUACAAAAUAGGGCCGGGGAUAUGGCCCAGUGGUCAAGUGCCCCUGAGUUCAAUCCCUGGUACGCCCUCCCCCACAAAAAAAAUCAGACCUUGUGGAGCUAUUUUCAAUGAAUCAGAGACCUCUGAAUUAAAGGUAUGGAAAUCAAGGAAGAACAUGCUGGGGUCAAAAUACUUUUUUUGGGUUGUGCCAGUUCAGGUUCUUCGGAAAAUAGACCCAUGGGUGAUGCAUGGCUGAAUCUGGACCCUGGCUGGUUCCCCAGCCACCGCAGGGUCUUGGGUGGCUGCUGACACGCAGGGGAGGACCCAGGGUUGUCUUCACCAGCCAAAGCCACAGCUGCCCAGAGUCAAGAUGAGCCAGGGGAGACGGGCUCACACUGUAUAAAGGGUUCACUACACAGAUCCUUUAAAUAUGCACGUGCCAAAUGCACUCAUUCCCUAAACAUUGACUGACAACAGCGGUCAGUAGGC
rnacentral:lncRNA from 1 species